AGUAAGAGUAAAAUAUUAGAUUCUCUUUAUUAUUAGCAUCAAGUGAUUUGAUGAACACAUUAAAUAUACAUUUAAUGAUAUUAGAGCACUCCGAAUCGGUGAGGCAUAUUACCAAAAAUUGUAAAAAACAGUUAGCUAAAACUAAGAAAAAUGAUGGGCGCCAGAGACUAUUUUAGCACUUCUGAUUUCGGUAAGUUCUAGUCCUCAACCUCUCUCUUUCAAAGGGUUGGUGCUCGUCUUCUCUCUAUGUUCAAGGUUGCCAAAGACCACGACAGAGCUCAGAAGUUGUCUAGUUCGUGCUCCUCAUUCCCCUCCCCUCCUCACAGUGCUUAUCUUCUCUCCUCAUUACACCCACACCAGCCACUUUAGCAUCUCAGACUCAGACACGCCCACUCUCUUUCAAUCAGGUGUGGCAAUGGAUUUUGGUUCGGUAGAGUGAGUGAAGUUACCUUAGGCGUGGUUUCGUGGUUGCGGCGGCACCGAGCUUGCUAGAUAUUUCAAAGAAUCACCAAGUGAGAAAGAAGUACACCAUUAAGCUUGGCGAGAAUGAGCUUGUCCUCAAGGUCAUUUACACUCUUUCCAAUUCGUUUUCUAUUUUAAAAUUUAUGUUUGGUACCCGUGUAAAUAAUUAUUUUUGAGGUGAUAUUUUAUGAUUAAAGCUCGACCCGCCAAUGCAAAUGUGCGCAAGAGAAUUGAAUACAUCUCUGUUGAAUUGAAGCGGCUUGAUGGAACUCUUCAAGAUUUAGAAGAGAAGAAAAAUGGCAAAAAAGAAGCGGUUUGUGUUCUUUCUCUCACUUCAUAUGUGUCUUAUUUGGUAUUUUUUAUAAUAAGGUUUAAAUCGUUUGAUUCUGGGGUAGUUUGAACUUUUUCGCAUUCUUCUUAUUCUAAGUAGUGCAAUUUUUCUUUUUUCCUGUAGAUUGAUUUAUGAAUAGGUUGUGAUGAUAUAUAUGUAUGGCUUUCAAGGAUUUAUUAUUAUGAACUGUUAUGUUAGCUGUGAUUAUAUUGGUUAUUUAUAUGCUGAUUCUCAUUCAAGGUUUAUUUUUCACAGAUCUGAAAUAGAAUGUAUCUAGGUACGCAGAGGCUUCUAGUACUCUUAAGGUGCAUUUUUUAUGAGGUGUUAUAGGGAUGUGAAUGAGAAUCUGAAAACAUUCAUGUGGUCUCACAAAAUCUUUACCUGAAAAGUUAUUCUUGGGCUUUUAGCUUCCUCAAAAUGGCCUGGAAAGCUAAGCCACCAGCACAUUUUUGUCUCCAAAUAAUUUUCAAUUAUAUGGUUAAAAUCAUCAUUAAAUUUUAUUAAGCUUCAUAAUAAUUUAAUAGGUUUUAAGCAUAUUAAGUCUUGCAAAUUCUUUUCAACAUUGUCUCAAUAUUUAUCUUAUAUAGCACAUUAAAUAGGUUUUAAUAGGUGUUGUAUUUUAAUGCUGUCACAUGUUGCAAAAUGGCUAUGUUAUCAGUACAGUGUUUCUCACUUGUGGUCAAUAUGUGCCGAGGAACUAAAAUGAUUAUAUUUAUAAUAUAUAUUUGGUAUGUUUGAGCUUCAACAAGUCUUAAAUAGUACUCAUUUGGAGUUUUUAUUAUGCUUAUAAAAGGAACCCUGCAAUCUUUCUCACUCUUAAAUAUAUUUCUAGAAAAAUAAUGCUAGUGUCAUAUUCAACAAAUAUGCUUCACUUUACCCAAUUAAUUGUUUAGAUAGAUGGAUGUGAUAAUUUAGAUGUCCUAGUUACUCUUUAAACUUUAAUGACUUGUGCUUUUGUCAAAAUAAGAUGCCAUUCUUGGAUGCAGUUAAGUUGGUUGUGUUUUCUUUCCAAAUUAUCUCUUGGAUAUUUUUAGCAACCAAUAUGAGCUAACUUCUCAAGCUAUCUUGGGUUAUAACUAACUGAUCCUUUUAGAAUAUAUAGACAGAGUGCUCUCAGUUGAUAAUGCUCACUUUAAAACUUGAGUUAUAACUAACUGAUCCUUUUAAAUUUCAUAAAGGUAUUUCCCAACAUUUAUUUAAUUGGCAUGUUUUCCAUUAUUGAUUCUCAAGUAAUUAGCUUGAUCUGUUUCGGUAUGAUUUCCAACAAUGGCGUUCUUACUUAUCUAGUUCUUUUUGGUUUUUAAUGACUGAUUUAUAAAAGAAUUGUUUUUGUUUUUAUGGUUUGUUUAAGCAAAUUAUGUUGUAGUAAUCUUAGAGCUUAAUUCUCUGUUCCCUUUGAGAUUUAUUAUUAUAGCAAUGUUUAUAUAUCUUUAAUAGUAUCUAAAAUGAUAUCUACUCCAAGUCUGGGGCUUUUGGAUUUGUUUUAUAAACUAUUUAGCUUCUUGAAGUUGUUGAGAAAAUGGAGAGAAUAAAUGAGAGUGAUCAUAAUCUUCCUAUAACAAAGUUGGUUUAACUUUAUCACAGAUCCUCCUCUCUCUCUCUCUUUUAAAUUAUUGAGAAUUAGUUGGCAUUUAAAGCAUUGCAACAUACAUAUUAUAUAUGGAAGAAAUUUAUGAUUAUCUCUUGUCAGAUUUUGAAGGAUGGACUCACAACUCCAUGGGGUUCAUUCCUUCACUACACUGUUACAAGAGGGGGAAGAAAGCUACAAUGACUAUCUCCCAUCUUUGAAUGACUUAGAGUCGCAAUAUACUCCAUCCAAUCUAGAAGAUGGGAGUAGUAGAAAAACUAAAUCUAGAAAAAGAUAUUUUAGCACUGAAAAUGACAAAUUGCUAGUUUUAGCUUGGCUGAACUAGUAUGGACCCAAUCAAUGGGGUUGAUCAAUCAAAAUAUUCAUUUUGGUUUAGAGUUCAUGAAUAUUAUGAGAAAAACAAAAAAUCUAUAUCUUCUGAACGUAGUUCAUGCUCUAUUAGAAAUAGAUGGUCUACUAUCCAACUUGCUACAAAUAAGUUUUGUGGGGCCUUAGCUCAAAUUGAAAGAAGGUCUCCAAGUGGGGCUAAUGAGCAAGAUAAGGUGCACGAAUAAUAUAAUAUAAUUUCUAUUAUAUAUAACACUUUGAAUUAUAUAUUUCUCAUCUCUUUUACUUGAUUUUCAGAUUGAGAAAGCCAAAGAGUUCUACCGAAGUAUCCAUCCCACUUCAUUCAACUUUCUUCAUUGUUGGACUAUUCUACGACACCAUCCAAAAUGGAAAGAAUCAAUGGCUGAGGGUAGCAGUAUGAAAGCUUAAAGAAGAUCAAUAAUUCGAGAUGGUCAUGCACCAGAGUUCAUAGAUGAAGAUACUGUAGCACCAUCUUUAGAUGUGAAUUUAGAGAGACCAAUAGGAAAGAAGGC